UACGGGGGGGGCAAGCGUUGUUCGGAAUUACUGGGCGUAAAGGGCGCGUAGGCGGCCCUCUAAGUCGAACGUGAAAUCCCCGGGCUCAACCCGGGAACUGCGUCCGAUACUGGAGGGCUCGAAUCCGGGAGAGGGAUGUGGAAUUCCAGGUGUAGCGGUGAAAUGCGCAGAUAUCAGGAAGAACACCUAUGGCGAAGGCAGCUCUCUGGGACGGUACUGACGGCUGAGACGCGAAAGCCGUGGGGAGCGAACAGG
rnacentral:rRNA from 1 species